UACGUAGGGACCAAGCGUUGUCCGGAUUCACUGGGUUUAAAGGGUGCGUAGGUGGGUUGGUAAGUCAGUGGUGAAAUCUCCGGUGCCUUAACAUGGAACUGCCAUUGAUACUACUGAUCUUGAAUUUUCUGGGGGUAAGCGGAAUAUGUCAUGUAGCGGUGAAAUGCUUAGAUAUGACAUAGAACACCAAUUGCGAAGCAGCUUGCUACAGGGAUAUUGACACUGAGGCACGAAAGCGUGGGGAUCAAACAGG
rnacentral:rRNA from 1 species